rnacentral:rRNA from 1 species
CUACGUGCCAGCAGCCGCGGUAAUACGGAAGGUCCAGGCGUUAUCCGGAUUUAUUGGGUUUAAAGGGAGCGUAGGCUGGAGAUUAAGUGUGUUGUGAAAUGUAGACGCUCAACGUCUGAAUUGCAGCGCAUACUGGUUUCCUUGAGUACGCACAACGUUGGCGGAAUUCGUCGUGUAGCGGUGAAAUGCUUAGAUAUGACGAAGAACUCCGAUUGCGAAGGCAGCUGACGGGAGCGCAACUGACGCUUAAGCUCGAAGGUGCGGGUAUCAAACAGGAUUAGAUACCCUGGUAGUCCGCACAGUAAACGAUGGAUGCCCGCUGUUGGUACCUGGUAUCAGCGGCUAAGCGAAGGCAUUAAGCAUCCCACCUGGGGAGUACGCCGGCAACGGUGAAACUCAAAGGAAUUGACGGGGGCCCGCACAAGCGGAGGAACAUGUGGUUUAAUUCGAUGAUACGCGAGGAACCUUACCCGGGCUUGAA